rnacentral:rRNA from 1 species
GAUGAACGCUAGCGACAGGCCUAACACAUGCAAGUCGAGGGGUAGCAUGGAAGUAGCAAUACUUUUGAUGACGACCGGCGCACGGGUGAGUAACGCGUAUGCAACCUACCUACUACAGGGGAAUAGCCCGAAGAAAUUCGGAUUAAUGCCGCAUAAUACAGGGGCACCGCAUGGUGAUAUUUGUUAAAGAUUAAUUGGUAGUAGAUGGGCAUGCGUUCCAUUAGCCAGUUGGUGAGGUAACGGCUCACCAAAGCAACGAUGGAUAGGGGAACUGAGAGGUUUAUCCCCCACACUGGUACUGAGACACGGACCAGACUCCUACGGGAGGCAGCAGUGAGGAAUAUUGGUCAAUGGGCGAGAGCCUGAACCAGCCAAGUCGCGUGAAGGAUGACUGCCCUAUGGGUUGUAAACUUCUUUUGUACUGGGGUAAAAAAGAGGACGUGUCCUUUCUUGCAAGUACAGUACGAAUAAGCAUCGGCUAACUCCGUGCCAGCAGCCGCCGCUG